GACGAACGCUGGCGGCGUGCCUAACACAUGCAAGUCAAGGAGAAUUCCCGACUUGUCGGGAUAGUAAACUGGCGAACGGGUGAGUAACACGUAGGUAAUCUACCCUCGGGAUCGGGAUAACCUCGCGAAAGUGGGGAUAAUACCGAAUAAAGUCUCGGUAUAAUUUGUCGAGAUGAAAGAUGGGGAUCUUCGGACCUAUUACCUGAGGAUGAGCCUGCGCCUGAUUAGCUAGUUGGUAGGGUAAAUGCCUACCAAGGCAACGAUCAGUAGCUGGUCUGAGAGGAUGAUCAGCCACAUUGGGACUGAGAUACGGCCCAGACUCCUACGGGAGGCAGCAGUGAGGAAUUUUGCGCAAUGGGCGAAAGGCCUGACGCAGCAACGCCGCGUGACUGAUUAAGCUCUGAGGAGUGUAAAAGUCUGUCGUAGAGGAAGAAACUAUCCGAUAAGAAUAAUUGUCGGAUACUGACGGUACUCGUAAUGAGAAAGCUCGGA
rnacentral:rRNA from 1 species